AGUAUUUGUGUGACCUCCAAUCAGCAAAUGGCUGCUUAAGUCUAUUUUGAGUUUAUAUCCAGUUAGCCAUUCGGGAUCCAUCUUGAAUUUCUAGAGGUGCAACUUACGGACUUGAGAUCUUCCUCUUUUCUCACGAGCAUCUUUGAUGGGUUGAGAGUACUAAUUGUAUCCUAGACUUGCUCAUCCCCAACACUGAGGCCCUGAGUCUGUACCCUGACUUGGGGGCUGAACUGGAGCAACUCUUUGCUCUGGGAGAAGAGUUAAAAGGAGUUCACAAUGUUCAGGCCCAGCUGUCUUUUGGGAGAGAUGUCUGCACUGAUUAUGGAUCCAAACAUCAGAGAGGAAGUGACAACUUUUCAGAAUCCUUGAUUCGAAGUCAAGAAAGCCUAGAAGAACAUGCAAGACAACAUUCAAGCAGAACCCAGGGAUACUAUGCAGAAAGUCUUUCAAUUUGAAUACUUUACUUAUUUCUUUACUCAUGUGUGUAUUUAUUGAAUAAAUAGGUAUUAAGGGCU
rnacentral:lncRNA from 1 species